UACGUAGGGUGCAAGCGUUGUCCGGAAUUAUUGGGCGUAAAGAGCUCGUAGGCGGUUUGUCGCGUCUGCUGUGAAAACUCGGGGCUUAACUCCGGGCCUGCAGUGGGUACGGGCAGACUAGAGUGCGGUAGGGGAGACUGGAAUUCCUGGUGUAGCGGUGAAAUGCGCAGAUAUCAGGAGGAACACCGGUGGCGAAGGCGGGUCUCUGGGCCGAUUCUGACACUGAGGAGCGAAAGCGUGGGGAGCGAACAGG
rnacentral:rRNA from 1 species